rnacentral:rRNA from 1 species
AGCGAACGCUGGCGGCGUGCCUAACACAUGCAAGUCGAACGUGAAAGGGAGCACUCCCAAGUAAAGUGGCGUACGGGUGAGUAACACGUAGGUAAUCUACCCCAGAAUCUGGAAUAACCGGCCGAAAGGCUGGCUAAUACUGGAUAGAGCGACGGAAUCCGCAAUUGGGUUUUUCGGGAAAGGGAGCCUGUAAAAAGGCCUUCGUUCUGGGAUGAGCCUGCGUCCCAUCAGCUAGUUGGUGAGGUAAAAGCUUACCAAGGCAAUGACGGGUAGCUGGUCUGAGAGGACGAUCAGCCACACUGGAACUGAAACACGGUCCAGACUCCUACGGGAGGCAGCAGUGGGGAAUCUUGCGCAAUGGACGAAAGUCUGACGCAGCAACGCCGCGUGAGUGAAGAAGGCCUUCGGGUUGUAAAGCUCUGUCGAGUGGGACGAAAAUGCUUGGAGUUCACAGCUCCAGGAACUGACGGUACCACUAAAGGAAGCACCGGCUAACUCCGUG